UACGUAGGGUCCGAGCGUUGUCCGGAAUUAUUGGGCGUAAAGGGCUCGUAGGCGGUCCGUCACGUCGGGAGUGAAAACUCAGGGCUCAACCCUGAGCGUGCUUCCGAUACGGGCGAACUAGAGGUAUGCAGGGGAGAACGGAAUUCCUGGUGUAGCGGUGGAAUGCGCAGAUAUCAGGAGGAACACCGGUGGCGAAGGCGGUUCUCUGGGCAUUACCUGACGCUGAGGAGCGAAAGCAUGGGGAGCGAACAGG
rnacentral:rRNA from 1 species